UCCAGCUGUAUUUACAGUGAGUGUGUCACAGUCCUUAGUGUCAGGACCAAACCCAAACAGCGUCUUAUUCAACAACCUGUCAUGACAUGAUGGGUUAGUUGAGAUUGUGAGGUAAGAAUGUGGGUGAGAUUGUGAGGUAAGAUGGUGGGUGAGGUUGUGCGGUAAGAUGGUAGGUGAAGUUGAGGUAAAAUGGUGGGUGAGGUUGUGCGGUAAGAUGGUGGGUGAGGUUGUGCGGUAAGAUGGUGGGUGAGGUUGUGCGGUAAGACGGUGGGUGAGGUUGUGCAGUAAGAUGGUGGUUGAGGUUAUGCAGUAAGAUGGUGGGUGAGCUGAGACUGACUCUUGGGAGGCCAUGGUUUGGGCGACCACACAGUCUUGGGACGAGCGUUGAUAUCCGCUACACGGUCAUUGAAUCUGGCGUG
ensembl:lncRNA